UCUGACUUCAAAGUCGUACUCAUUUCUGGAGCUUGGAUUGGUUCAUGUGCCAUCUCCACAAUCAGUCCCAUUUCACAGCCUUUACAAAGACAGGGGCAGGCUUUGGCGCUGACCUCAGGCCAGACUGUCUCAAGUCAGAAGGCUUUCCUGUACCUUCAGUCACCCCCAAAAUCCCCCAGGACCUAUAGUACAAUGAUUUUUCCAUAGAGCCCACAGUUGAGGCUAGAGAAAACCACCGCUCAGCACUGAACCUGUUGGAAUUUGGGGAAAAAAAUGUCAGCUUGUAAUGAGCGGAGACAGAUCUACUGACCGAUGGACUAGUAGUUGCCCAAACCCUUUCCUUUUCCUUCCUGGGACUGGCCUGCAGUUCCCGCCUCCCUGGAGUUUAGCGUGGUCACGUGACUGCGGUCUAGCCCACGGGACGUGGCGGGGUUAAAGGCCAACACUUCCAGUCGCCCUGCUCUUUCUCCUGUUGUGAAGCUCCCUGUUGACGAUGCAGAGUCAGGGAUGGAAGCCGUUGUGGUCCCCAAAUGUCCUCGUGGGAGCCUCCUGCCUCCUCGGCACCCCCACGUUGGGCUAGCAGGUAUUAGUCCUGCAGGAGGCGGAGCCACGAGGAAAAGCUGAAAAAUACGUCUGUGUUUAAUACAUCUCACCUUGGAAGUGUAGCCCUCUUCCCUUCACUACUGGUUAUGCCGCAAGUUUCAGCUGGGGAAGCCACUUUGGAAAGACUUAAAGAACAGGGAAAUUAGCAAGGAAAAAAGAGGUAACAGGAUGCUUGGCCCACGAUAACCUGGGAAAUCCUCACUGGAAUGACAAGGACACGGUUCACAGCUGGCUGAGACUCGAGGACCCUUCAUUCUUUGGGGAACACCAAAGAUGAAAUAUGGAAUUGGAAAAUGUGCAAGGAGGAAACAUAACAUGACUUUUUCUUGGGACAGAUAUGAAAGGGGCAAGACAAUCAAGUGAGAGAAGCAAUUUUUGGAUAGGCAGGAACUCGUGUUUGAAUGCACGGGGCUCCCACAAGUUUAACAGAACUGGAGUCUGAGCAUCCUAUAUGAAUCUUAGGGUUUUUGUUUUUUUUUUGUCAAAACAAUGGAAACCAUUCUUUCCUAAUGGGCAGCUAUAAACUGUGUGUGUGAAUUUAAAAAAUGAAGAAAACAAUUAUUUUCUACUCAAGAAUUUUAAGAUGUGGAUAAUUUUGGUGCAGAAAAUUCAACUUGAUUAAGGUCUCUAUAUUUCACUCUUUGAUUACCCAGACUUCCAUUUACUUUGAAGGCAUAUUUUUCAAGAUAGGAGGAUGGAAGAUAUUUCAUGUGACUGUUCAUUAGCUUGAUUUAAAGCUUAUAAAUAUUUAGACCAGUAGUUUUCAGGCCUCCGUCUGCACUGCUGAACCACACCGCCGUUCGGGGAGGGCCUGCCCUCCUGCACCCACAAAUCAACCUAAACCUCCUCGGCUCCUUUACUUUCUCUCCCUUGCACACAGCAGACUGUGAAGAUUUCUUUCCCUGGGAAACACCUCUUGACGCUCAUUCACUUCACUGACGCUCACCCCAAUGUCAAGGUUGGUGAGGAGGGAUGUCUCCUUCAGAAUUUCCGCAUACAGGGAAGAAAUGCUUGCUCUGGGCCUGCAUGUUGGGCCUCCUCUUGGCUCUGGGAGGUUAUACAAGUCAAACAGACCCAGCCCAUUCAGUUUUAGAAACUGUUUAAAGGAGGAAGGAGCCAGUUAAGCAUGAAGACAUCAGAUGUGCCUAAUGGCUGUUCAAUGUAACAGCACGAAACUACACUCAAAGAGAAUUGGACUCAGUAUUAGUGUCUGACUUAUGACUGUUUUGAACCAUUUAAUUCUUGCAGUAAUCUCACUUCUCAAAAAUUAUAUUCUUAAAAGAAAGCCAUGCUGAGAGGAGCAGAAGCUAACGCUGACAUAUCAGUCUUUGAUAUGGAGGUACAGUAGGCAGACAUGACUCGACCCAGAUUAAAAACAAAUGUGUAAUGGAAGUUGAAAUAUAAAGAAUUUCUCCAUUUAUCUUCUUGACUAAAGGGGGGAAAAAAACCACCGUACACAUUGUAGAUCAUUUGAGUUUUAGGCCGAUGAUUUGAAACAUUUUUAUAAUAAUUCAGUGGCUCUUUUUGAAUAUCCAGAUGUUAAUAAUGGUUCCCUGCUAUGUGAUUAGGAAUGAAUCUGCCAAGGAAAAAUGAAGGCUUUUCUCUGGGGGAAAGUUGAGUUACUUCUGUUAUUUUCCCAGGCUUCCUGGGGAAGUCUAUCAGCCUGUGAAUAAAUGAUGGGAACGGCAGGCUGGCUGGUCACUGUGGAAUUAUCAGCCUUGUUUUCUGAGUUUGACCUUUAUUAUUUACACAAUCGGCUUGAAAUAUGACAAAUGGAGUGGCUUUCCAAGGAUUUUGUUUCUUGAAAUCUAGCAGUCCUGGUAGGUUUUGAGGUUGAGAAGUCUGUGUUGUUUUAGUAAGAGUUUCUGGUGUCAUUGGUUUUGAAGGCCGCGACUUGGGCCCAAAUUAAGAAGUGAUAUGAACAACAACUGGGGGUUCCCUCGUUUGGAUUCAGUUUUUCUAAGGAAGAUACAAUUCUUUGAAAAGAUAAGAAGCAUU